rnacentral:lncRNA from 1 species
GAGAUAAAAGCGCGGGAGCGAGGCCCGGCGGCUCCAGUUCUGGGGCUUUUGCUUUCGCUCGAUUAGUUGCUGUGAGGCUGCUCCGCGGGCCUCGCCUGGACGCUGACUCCCUGUGACUUAGCCCUGAUCCUCAGGAAGGCAGGCCAUCGAGAGUCCAGAGGCACCCGUGGCCUGGGGGUAGGGUGGGAUAGCAAUGUGGCCGCUACGGGUCUAUACCCGCAAAAAGCGGGAGGGUCAGAGGCUCAAUCUCACCCCGACGCCAGACCUAGGCUCUCCAGCGAAGGCCGAGGCCCCGCCAGGUUCGAAGAGAAAAGGCAAAGUGCACGGCUUGUCGAAGAUUGCAGAGAAAGCAGAGCGGAGCAGGCAGGGAGGUAGCGGCUCUGGGCCGUUCAGCCCUCGCUUAGGAGUUACAGGAGAGAAAAGCCUGCAAGAAAAUAGGUCUAGUGAAGACACCCAGGAUGAGAAGAUUGCAUCGU